UACGUAGGGGGCUAGCGUUGUCCGGAAUCAUUGGGCGUAAAGCGCGUGUAGGCGGCCCGGUAAGUCCGCUGUGAAAGUCGGGGGCUCAACCCUCGGAUGCCGGUGGAUACUGUCGGGCUCGAGUACGGAAGAGGCGAGUGGAAUUCCUGGUGUAGCGGUGAAAUGCGCAGAUAUCAGGAGGAACACCGGUGGCGAAGGCGGCCUGCUGGGACAUUGCUGACGCUGAGACGCGAAAGCGUGGGGAGCGAACAGG
rnacentral:rRNA from 1 species